CACUUUUUCCCUCACCUGUCUUCUGUUGGUGAUUAAGACAAUCGAAGAUGAGUGUGAGCCACCAUGACUUUGUCGAGACUUUGUUUGGAAUGGAUAUUCUUCAUGUGGACGCUCUCCCCUCCUGCCGAAUAUUUGGAUUAGUCUGUGUGUGCAUCAGCACGGAGGAAGGACGUGGCCGUGGUGAAGCAGUGGACCGAUCAGGAAACUGACGUGCUGACAGAAUGUUUCUGAGAGAUUGAUGACCAGCGAUGUCUUCACAGUGAGCACCAUGCGUGGCACGUGUUCCGGGGCCACGCCCCCUCUCCUCCUCCUCCUCCUCAUGGUUCUACUCAAACUGGUUUGCUGUCAAGAGGCUCUCUUAGUGGCAGGGCAUCAACGCUCUGUCAGGGGUGUCAAACUCAUUUUAGAUCGGGGGCCACAUGGAGAAAGAUCUACUCCCAAGUGGGCCGGACUGGUAAAAUCACGGCACAAUAAUUAAAAAAUAAAGACA